CCUACGGGAGGCAGCAGUGAGGAAUAUUGGUCAAUGGGCGCGAGCCUGAACCAGCCAAGUCGCGUGAGGGAAGACGGUCCUAUGGAUUGUAAACCUCUUUUGUCGGGGAGCAAAAGACGCCACGCGUGGCGUUCCGAGAGUACCCGAAGAAAAAGCAUCGGCUAACUCCGUGCCAGCAGCCGCGGUAAUACGGAGGAUGCGAGCGUUAUCCGGAUUUAUUGGGUUUAAAGGGUGCGUAGGCGGAUCGUUAAGUCAGUGGUCAAAUUGAGGGGCUCAACCCCUUCCCGCCAUUGAAACUGGCGCUCUUGAGUGGAAGAGAAGUAUGCGGAAUGCGUGGUGUAGCGGUGAAAUGCAUAGAUAUCACGCAGAACCCCGAUUGCGAAGGCAGCAUGCCGGCUUCCGACUGACGCUGAAGCACGAAAGCGUGGGGAUCGAACAGGAUUAGAUACCCCAGUAGUC
rnacentral:rRNA from 1 species